AUUGAACGCUGGCGGCAGGCCUAACACAUGCGAGUCGAGCGGAUGAAGGGAGCUUGCUCCUGGAUUCAGCGGCGGACGGGUGAGUAAUGCCUAGGAAUCUGCCUGGUAGUGGGGGAUAACGUCCGGAAACGGGCGCUAAUACCGCAUACGUCCUGAGGGAGAAAGUGGGGGAUCUUCGGACCUCACGCUAUCAGAUGAGCCUAGGUCGGAUUAGCUAGUUGGUGGGGUAAAGGCCUACCAAGGCGACGAUCCGUAACUGGUCUGAGAGGAUGAUCAGUCACACUGGAACUGAGACACGGUCCAGACUCCUACGGGAGGCAGCAGUGGGGAAUAUUGGACAAUGGGCGAAAGCCUGAUCCAGCCAUGCCGCGUGUGUGAAGAAGGUCUUCGGAUUGUAAAGUACUUUAAGUUGGGAGGAAGGGCAGUAAGUUAAUACCUUGCUGUUUUGACGUUACCUACAGAAUAAGCACCGGCUAACUUCGUG
rnacentral:rRNA from 1 species